GAGAGCUGAGAUGUUCUGUUCAGCUGUUCAUGACUCGAGGAGCUCAAGCUCCGGCUCUGCGACCUCUGACCUGCUUGUGUGGAUUUCCGCCGGGCCUUCUUUAUGUCCUCCUCCGUCUUGUUGCUCAGUUUGAUCUCCAGCUGCUGGGUCUUCACCUCCAGAUCCUUCUGUCGGUCUGCCAGGGCUUUACGGGCCUGCGUGUGAUGUGCAAACGCAGAAACAGCACGUCAGACUCUUCUGUACCUUCUCCACACCUGCGUAGCGACUCGCCAGCUGCUUCCUGAGGUCGGCGAUGUGAUGGUCGUACUUCUUCAGGUCCUUCUUGAAGUUGUCGCCCC